GACGAACGCUGGCGGCGUGCUUAACACAUGCAAGUCGAGCGGUAAGGCCCUUUCGGGGUACGACGAGCGGCGAACGGGUGAGUAACACGUGGGUGACCUGCCCUCAGCUCUGGGAUAAGCCUGGGAAACCGGGUCUAAUACUGGAUAUGACUCCAUGACGCAUGUUGUGGGGUGGAAAGCCUUGUGCGGCUGAGGAUGGGCCCGCGGCCUAUCAGCUUGUUGGUGGGGUGAGGCCUACCAAGGCGACGACGGGUAGCCGGCCUGAGAGGGCGACCGGCCACACUGGGACUGAGACACGGCCCAGACUCCUACGGGAGGCAGCAGUGGGGAAUCUUGCGCAAUGGGCGAAAGCCUGACGCAGCGACGCCGCGUGAGGGAUGACGGCCUCGGUUGUAA
rnacentral:rRNA from 1 species